rnacentral:lncRNA from 1 species
GAGACACUGGGGUAAAGGUGCAGGUGGUUGUUAAAGAACAACUUACAUUGAGCAUGACCAACAUGAGAACCACAUGGAUGUUUACUCACUCAUCAGUGAUCUUCUCGAUACUGCAGUGGUGUGAGUAGUCCUUUGACCUGCGGUAUCAUUGGCUAUUCAUAGCGAGGCUACUGGCAUUUGAUUGCAUGUUCUCUUGGUCCCUAGCCAUUCAGAUCCUUGCUAUAUAUGUUAGCUUCAGUAGGUUCAGAUUUAUUGUUUGGAGUAGG